rnacentral:misc_RNA from 1 species
AAUUCUCAAAACCCUUUCCUUUGGUCAUUUUUGACCAUCGAAAGGAUUUUGGACUUGGAGGCCUUUUUGCUGGUUUCACCUUGAAGCGAGCUCCUCCCAAACGUAUUAGUGGGGUCUGCAUUGUCGGUCCUUGGCGUGAUAAGUUGUUUCUACGUCUUGGAUUUUUGGCGCUGUACACCUGCUUCUAACCGUCUCAUUGACAACGAUGGUGUUCCGGUCGCCGCCGAUUUUUCGGUGGGGGGCUUGGACCCACGAAACAAA